AUUGAACGCUGGCGGCAGGCCUAACACAUGCAAGUCGAGCGGAGUGGCGGACGGGCGAGUAAGGCCUACGAAUCUGCCUGGUAGUGGGGGAUAACGUCCGGAAACGGGCGCUAAUACCGCAUACGUCCAGACUACCCUUGGUCGGAUUAGCUAGUUGGUGGGGUAAAGUCCUACCAAGGCGGCGACGCGUAACGGGUCUGAGGGGUUGACCAGUCACACUGGAACUGAGACACGGUCCAGACUCCUACGGGAGGAGGCAGUGGGGAAUAUUAGACAAUGGGCGAAAGCCUGAUGCAGCAAUGCCGCGUGUGUGAAGAAGGUCUUCGGAUUGUAAAGCCCUUUAAGUUGGGAGGCGUUACCAACAGAGAAAGCACCGGCUAACUACGUGCCAGCAGCCGCGGUAAUUC
rnacentral:rRNA from 1 species